rnacentral:rRNA from 8 species
UUAGCGGCGGACGGGUGAGUAACACGUGGGUAACCUGCCCAUAAGACUGGGAUAACUCCGGGAAACCGGGGCUAAUACCGGAUAACAUUUUGAACCGCAUGGUUCGAAAUUGAAAGGCGGCUUCGGCUGUCACUUAUGGAUGGACCCGCGUCGCAUUAGCUAGUUGGUGAGGUAACGGCUCACCAAGGCAACGAUGCGUAGCCGACCUGAGAGGGUGAUCGGCCACACUGGGACUGAGACACGGCCCAGACUCCUACGGGAGGCAGCAGUAGGGAAUCUUCCGCAAUGGACGAAAGUCUGACGGAGCAACGCCGCGUGAGUGAUGAAGGCUUUCGGGUCGUAAAACUCUGUUGUUAGGGAAGAACAAGUGCUAGUUGAAUAAGCUGGCACCUUGACGGUACCUAACCAGAAAGCCACGGCUAACUACGUGCCAGCAGCCGCGGUAAUACGUAGGUGGCAAGCGUUAUCCGGAAUUAUUGGGCGUAAAGCGCGCGCAGGUGGUUUCUUAAGU